AAAUUAACACAUGUAAAUUAUAUAAUGUGGUUUUUUUUAAUAAUCAUUGCAAUCUUAUUUGUACUAUAUCACUAUGGCGAUCCCAUCUAAAGCACAUAAAUGGUGUGGAACUGUAUUUAGAACGUCGACGGUAUAGACGAGAAGUAAUAAAACAACAUCAUAAUAUAAUAUAUUUUAUUAUUUUAUUAUCAAGUAAUAAAAAUAAAAUGAGGACGGAAAUAAAAGGUAUUCCGAUCUGCUUUUUGAAUGUUUAUCUCAUGGAUAUGGAACAAUUAUGGCAAGAAAUGGAAAUUAAAAAA
rnacentral:misc_RNA from 1 species